CCGAUGGCGACCGGCGCACGGGUGAGUAACACGUAUCCAACCUGCCGUCUACUCUUGGACAGCCUUCUGAAAGGAAGAUUAAUACCCGAUAGCAUAAUGAUUCCGCAUGGUUUCAUUAUUAAAGGAUUCCGGUAAAGGAUGGGGAUGCGUUCCAUUAGGUUGUUGGUGGGGUAACGGCCCACCAAGCCUUCGAUGGAUAGGGGUUCUGAGAGGAAGGUCCCCCACAUUGGAACUGAGACACGGUCCAA
rnacentral:rRNA from 1 species